rnacentral:sRNA from 1 species
AUUUAAAUUAUUUUUUGAGGUGAGGUUUUGCUGUCUUGGCCAGGGUGGUCUUGAACUCCUGGCCUCAAGCAAUCCUCCUGCCUCAGCUCCUAAAGUGCUGGGAUUACAGGGGUGAGCCACUGUGCCCGGUCCCAGCCUUGCUUUUGGGAAGGUCACAACCUUGGGGCAUCAGGAAAGUCCCAGAGGCAAAAGAGCGCUGUGGCCGGAACCGGGUUGCAGGAAGGAAGCUGCAAGGGUCAUCUGGGGCCUCAGCUGCCAGGACUGGAUCCUAAGGACCAGACUGAGCCCCAGGCUGCUGUGAGGACAAGUGGUGGUGUGAACAUGGGGGCCCAGGUGAGGGGGCUGCUCCUCGAGUCUGGACUUGGAGUCCCCGAGUCCACCUUUCCUCAUGGGAUCCCAUCCCUGUGGGGAGCGCAUAGAGAGGCUGCCGGUGCCCAGGCACCCACAGACCUCUGGAGGGCCCCUCUGCACCACCUCCCCCAGUGGCAUGGGGCUGUCAGGGGAGGGAAGACAUCUUUGGGGACUGCGGCCCAGUGAGCUUGCUGCUCCUCGGACCACAGGCACCUGCGGCAGCCAGAGCACAAAAUCCUGCAGCAGCUGCGGAGCCGCGGGGACAACGUGUAUGUGGUGACCGAGGUGUUGCAGACACAGAAGGACGUGGAAGUCACGCGGACCCACAAGCGGGAGGGCUCGGGCCAGUUUUCCCUGCUCGGAACCAUGUGCUUGCAGGGUGAGGGCCAGGGCCACCUGAGCCAGAAGAAGACGGUCACCAUCCCCUCGGGCAGCAUCCUCGCAUUCCGGGUGGCCCAGCUGGUUAUUAACUCUGACUUGGACGUCCUUCUCUUCCCGGAUAAGAAGCAGAGGACCUUCCAGCCACCCCCGACUGGCCACAAGCGUUCCACGAGCGAAGGCGCCUGGCCACAGCCGCCCUCUGGCAUCUCCAUGAUGGGGUGCCUCCACAACUUCCUGACAGGUCAGUGCCCUCCUGACCGCCCCGGGGACCUUUGGUGGGCUCUCCUUCUGCCCCCUGGGGUCUGCCUGUCCUGACCAAGGCUUUCCAGAGCCCUGUAAGCACCCGGGCAGUGCCAGUCCCUCUGUCCCUACAGAUGGGGUCCUUGUGGAGGGUGCGUUCACUGAAGACUUCCAGGGCCUGUGGGCAGAGGUGGAGACCAUCUCCAAGGAACUGGAGCUCUUGGACAGAGAGCUGUGCCAGCUGCUGCUGAGGGGCCUGGAGGGGGUGCUGCGGGACCAGCUGGCCCUGCGAGCCUUGGAGGAGGCGGUGAGUGGGGGAGGGUGCCCGGGGCACACAAGGCCGGCCCAGCCAGCCAGGCUCAUCUGCCCUUCCCGUGCCCACAGCUGGAGCAGGGCCAGAGCCUUGGGCCGGUGGAGCCCCUGGACGGUCCAGCAGGUGCUGUCCUGGAGUGCCUGGUGUUCCCCUCCAGAAUGCUGGUGCCGGAACUCGCCAUCCCUGUUGUCUACCUGCUGGGGGCACUGACCAGUGAGUGGCCCCUGGGGGCAGGUGGGGGGUGGGAGGGAGGGAGGUGGGCUUUCCCGGUGGGCCUUCAGGAACCCCCUCUUACCUGACUCUCUCCCAGUGCUGAGUGAAACGCAGCACAAGCUGCUGGCGGAGGCGCUGGAGUCGCGGUCCCUGUUGGGGCCGCUCGAGCUGGUGGGCAGCCUCUUGGAGCAGAGUGCCCCGUGGCAGGAGCACAGCACCAUGUCCCUGCCCCCCGGGCUCCUGGGGAGCAGCUGGGGCGAAGGGGCACCGGCCUGGGUCUUGCUGGACGAGUGUGGCCUGGAGCUGGGGGAGGACACUCCCCACGUGUGCUGGGAGCCGCAGGCCCAGGGCCGCAUGUGUGCACUCUACGCCUCCCUGGCACUGCUAUCAGGACUGAGCCAGGAGCCCCACUAGCCUGUGCCCGGGCAUGGCCUGGCAGCUCUCCAGCAGGGCAGAGUGUUUGCCCACCAGCUGCUAGCCCGAGGAAGGCCAGGAGCCCAGUAGCCAUGUGGCCUGUCUACCAUGGGGCCCAGGAGUUGGGGAAACACAAUAAAGGUGGCAUACGAAGG